AUACGGAGGGAGCAAGCGUUAUUCGGAAUCACUGGGCGUAAAGGACGCGUAGGCGGGUUUGUAAGUCAGGUGUGAAAUCCUACAGCUCAACUGUAGAACUGCACUUGAAACUACAGACCUAGAGUAUGGAAGGGGCAGAUGGAAUUAGUGGUGUAGGGGUAAAAUCCGUAGAUAUCACUAGGAAUACCGAAAGCGAAGGCGAUCUGCUGGGACAUUACUGACGCUGAGGCGUGAAAGCGUGGGGAGCGAACAGGAUUAGAAACCCCAGUAGUCC
rnacentral:rRNA from 1 species